rnacentral:rRNA from 1 species
AUGGUGGGGGUGCUCCCGGAUUCCAGGUUCCCACAUGUCGACGGCAAGGCAACGAGGAACUCGCAAAGAACAACUAGGACACAGUGCAACCACGAUCAUCUCCUACAACACAUGCAUUCGUUCACGGGCGUCGUCUCGGUGUGGCUUCGUGAAAACAACAUCACCAGAUGGAUGCAAGGACAUGGCAGUGACGGGUUAGAGCGCUUGACAGGAUCCGAAGCCAACAGGUGCUCGAGGACAGGGGCGCUUGGGGCAGCGGCGAGAGCUUGCAGGAUGUAG